rnacentral:rRNA from 1 species
CGGAGGGUGCAAGCGUUAUCCGGAUUCACUGGGUUUAAAGGGUGCGUAGGUGGGCAGUAAGUCAGUGGUGAAAUCUCCGGGCUUAACCCGGAAACUGCCAUUGAUACUAUUUGUCUUGAAUACUGUGGAGGUCAGCGGAAUAUGUCAUGUAGCGGUGAAAUGCUUAGAUAUGACAUAGAACACCAAUUGCGAAGGCAGCUGGCUACACAAAUAUUGACACUGAGGCACGAAAGCGUGGGGAUCAAACAGGAUUAGAUACCCUGGUAGUCCACGCCCUAAACUAUGGAUACUCGACAUUUGCGAUAAACUGCAAGUGUCUGAGCGAAAGCAUUAAGUAUCCCACCUGGGAAGUACGAUCGCAAGAUUG